rnacentral:rRNA from 1 species
AGCAGCCGCGGUAAUUCCAGCUCCAAUAGCGUAUGUUAAAGUUGUUGCAGUUAAAAGGCUCGUAGUUGAAUUUCGGGACCAGUAUGUCGGUCGUGCUUCGGUACGUACUUGCAUUAUUGGUUUCCCCCUUCUGACGAACCAUGAUGUCAUUAAUUUGAUGUCAUGGGGAAUCAGGACUGUUACUUUGAAAAAAUUAGAGUGUUUAAAGCAGGCUCGCGCUUGAAUACAUUAGCAUGGAAUAAUGAAAUAGGACGUUUGAUUCUAUUUUGUUGGUUUCUAGGAUCGACGUAAUGAUUAAUAGGGAUAGUUGGGGGCAUUAGUAUUCAAUUGUCAGAGGUGAAAUUCUUGGAUUUAUUGAAGACUAAACUACUGCGAAAGCAUUUGCCAAGGAUGUUUUCAUUAAUCAAGAACGAAAGUUAGGGGAUCGAAGACGAUCAGAUACCGUCGUAGUCUUAACCAUAAACUAUGCCGACUAGGGAUCGGAUGAUGUUAAUUUUUAAUGACUCAUUCGGCGCCUUAA